GACGAACGCUGGCGGCGUGCUUAACACAUGCAAGUCGAACGGAAAGGCCCUGCUUUUGUGGGGUGCUCGAGUGGCGAGCGGGUGAGUAACACGUGAGUAACCUGCGCUUGACUUUGGGAUAACUUCAGGAAACUGGGGCUAAUACCGGAUAGGAGCUCCUGCUGCAUGGUGGGGGUUGGAAAGUUUCGGCGGUUGGGGAUGGACUCGCGGCUUAUCAGCUGGUUGGUGGGGUAGUGGCUUACCAAGGCUUUGACGGGUAGCCGGCAUGAGAGGGUGACCGGCCACAUUGGGACUGAGAGACGGCCCAGACUCAUACGGGAGGCAGCAGUGGGGAAUAUGGCACAAUGGGCGGAAGCCUGAUGAAGAAACGCCGCGUGCGUGAAGACGGCCUUCGGGUUGUAAACCGCUUUCGCCUGUGACGAAGCGUGAGUGACGGUAAUGGGUAAAGAAGCACCGGCUAACUACGUG
rnacentral:rRNA from 1 species